UAUCUCUCCCCUCUUCUCGGUUGUCCUCACCGACCUGUUUCUCUUUCGUCGAUCGUUUCACUAAAACUGAACACCGCCGUCUGGAAUCCAUUGUUGUCGCCGCCAGUCAUGACCUUAGGAAAUCGACCACUAUUGAAACGAGGGUUUUUUGUGGUAAUUAGUCAUAUAAUCAAUUGAGAUAAUGAAAGGUGUGGUUACACUUGUUGUGAUUGGGAUCGAAAAUAGAAGCUAUGAAAAAGUCAAAAUUAAAUUUUUUGGGUUACGACUCUCUAUGUAGCCUUCGUAGGCCCAAAGAAGUCAACAACCCUCAAAGUUUUGGUAGGAGAAUUGAAACCAAUAAAUGGCUUUUAGCAUAUUUAUACUUUCAGUUUUAGGCAUGUUGUAUCUUUUAUACUAAAUUCUACACCAUCAAAAUGGGAACAAGAUAUUCCUGUCAAAAUACAUCAAGUCCAAAGAAUAAUGCGGGUUGAACUUUUGUGAAUUGUUGGAUUUUAACAAAAAAUUGUUUGUCAUUCUUAUAGAAUGUAAUAUCAAGAACACAUACC